AGUGAACGCUGGCGGUAGGCCUAACACAUGCAAGUCGAACGGCAGCACAGUAAGAGCUUGCCCCUACGGGUGGCGAGUGGCGGACGGGUGAGGAAUACAGCGGCAUCUACUUUUUCGUGGGGGAUAACGUAGGGAAACUUACGCUUAUACCGCAUACGACCUACGGGUGAAAGCAGGGGAUCUUCGGACCUUGCGCGAUUGAAUGCGCCGAUGUCGGAUUAGCUAGUUGGCGGGGUAAAGGCCCACCAAGGCGACGAUCCGUAGCUGGUCUGAGAGGAUGAUCAGCCACACUGGAACUGAGACACGGUCCAGACUCCUACGGGAGGCAGCAGUGGGGAAUAUUGGACAAUGGGCGCAAGCCUGAUCCAGCCAUGCCGCGUGGGUGAAGAAGGCCUUCGGGUUGUAAAGCCCUUUUGUUGGGAAAGAAAAGCAGCAGGUUAAUACCCCGCUGUUCUGACGGUACCCAAAGAAUAAGCACCGGCUAACUUCGUG
rnacentral:rRNA from 1 species